AUUGAACGCUGGCGGCAGGCCUAACACAUGCAAGUCGAACGGUAACAGGAAACAGCUUGCUGUUUCGCUGACGAGUGGCGGACGGGUGAGUAAUGUCUGGGAAACUGCCUGAUGGAGGGGGAUAACUACUGGAAACGGUAGCUAAUACCGCAUAACGUCGCAAGACCAAAGAGGGGGACCCUCGGGCCUCUUGCCAUCGGAUGUGCCCAGAUGGGAUUAGCUUGUUGGUGGGGUAACGGCUCACCAAGGCGACGAUCCCUAGCUGGUCUGAGAGGAUGACCAGCCACACUGGAACUGAGACACGGUCCAGACUCCUACGGGAGGCAUCAGUGGGGAAUAUUGCACAAUGGGCGCAAGCCUGAUGCAGCCAUGCCGCGUGUAUGAAGAAGGCCUUCGGGUUGUAAAGUACUUUCAGCGGGGAGGAAGGGAGUAAAGUUAAUACCUUUGCUCAUUGACGUUACCCGCAGAAGAAGCACCGGCUAACUCCGUG
rnacentral:rRNA from 1 species